rnacentral:tRNA from 1 species
GCGCCUGUAGCUCAGUUGGAUAGAGCACCGGCCUCCGGAGCCGGGUGCGUAGGUUCGAGUCCUACCAGGCGCGCCA